AGGAAUGGGAGAGGGAGGAGGACGCCAGGGGCACUGGGACAGCCUCCGGGGCGGGGCGCGGCGCCUCCCGAGCCCGAGGAUGGAGGCUGAGGCCGCCCGUGGAGCUGCAGUUUCCCUGUGAUGCUCAUUUUAACCAGAUGGCACUUGCUUAGCAGUUUGGAGGAGAAGACCUGUUCCCCUGCAGCCUUCCAUGAUUAGACCUCAACUCAUGAGAACUCUUGCCUUGCUCACAAGUGGAAGUAAAUGCUCAUAGCUCUAGAAAUCUCCCAGGAACCAGACACCACGGAAGCUAGAAAGGCUAAGGGAGUCCAGUCUUCCUCUAAACUGGCCAACAGAAGAGUGGUGGAAAGAGAACAAGCUGCAAACCAGACAGACCCAAGCUUGAAUCUCACCUCUGCCAAGCUACCAG